AGAGAUGGAUUGGUGCCUUCGGGAACUCUGAGACAGGUGCUGCAUGGCUGUCGUCAGCUCGUGUUGUGAAAUGUUGGGUUAAGUCCCGCAACGAGCGCAACCCUUUAUCCUUUGUUGCCAGCGGUCCGGCCGGGAACUCAAAGGAGACUGCCAGUGAUAAACUGGAGGAAGGUGGGGAUGACGUCAAGUCAUCAUGGCCCUUACGAGUAGGGCUACACACGUGCUACAAUGGCGCAUACAAAGAGAAGCGACCUCGCGAGAGCAAGCGGACCUCAUAAAGUGCGUCGUAGUCCGGAUUGGAGUCUGCAACUCGACUCCAUGAAGUCGGAAUCGCUAGUAAUCGUGGAUCAGAAUGCCACGGUGAAUACGUUCCCGGGCCUUGUACACACCGCCCGUCACACCAUGGGAGUGGGUUGCAAAAGAAGUAGGUAGCUUAACCUUCGGGAGGGCGCUUACCACUUUGUGAUUCAUGACUGGGGUGAAGUCGUAACAAGGUAAGCGUAGUGCU
rnacentral:rRNA from 1 species